ACAGGGCGCUGACCUACGGUUUAACACUGUUAUUGCUCCUCCGCAUACAGUAGCACCGUCUCCGCAUCGAGCACCCGGCCCGUUGGCAGGAGCGGUUGGGCCGGCCCUCACUACCUUGCCCCUCUGGUCCUCUGCUCUGGUUUCACGCUGUCUCCUUGGGUUCCAUACUUCUAUUUCUCUCUCUUUUUUUUAUUUUUCCUUAGAAUUUAGCACAAAAAGUUUGAAUUUUUAUUUUAGAAAGUUUAUGAUUUGUUCAGGUGUUAUUAAACGGUGCGUUCAACGAGGGCCUGAUUUAAGCAUCUUAAUGACAACUACUACCUUCUCUGUACUGUAUGAUUCAGAAUCCAAGUCUUUUCCUUUUUCUUAUGAAUUAAAAUUAAUGAUUAAUUAAAAAAAAAACUUAGCUUUUAUAUUUUGAUGAUUGUAAUUUGUGGGGACAAAUCCUAAAGAAAAAGAAGUUUAUUCUCUUUUUCAAUUUUAUUUAAUCAAUUGCUAAAAUGGUUGUUUCCUCUUUGAGCAGUGAACUUAUAGAGAACCAGCUUCGAAGUGUUGUUUUACAACAGUUUUCCCCACUUGAUACCUCUGCUGCUGUGGACACUUUCCUUGACUAUUGGAAGCCAAAUGCAAUCAUGAUUUUAGAGAGUAAAGUAUGGCCAAAUCUUAUCAUGGGUUCAUCAAGUAAGUGUGUGAAUAAUCCCUUAAUGCGCGCACUAUUUUCUGAGGCAUUCCAGCGUGGAAAAGGAAGUAAUAGUAAUAAUAGCAAAUGAUUAUUUUAUACUCUGCAUUUGCUUUUGCUAUCAAGUAUUAUUGUUUCCUGACUGCUGAUUGCAUAUUCGUUCACCUUUCAGUGGUAGAAGAUUAAUUUAGAAGAGAGUAUGAUUUCUUGACUGGUUUAUGAUAUCUGUGUUCUCCGCGCUGCGCAUGGCAAUACUUAUUUCAAGUGCCCCAUUUUUGCAUUUUUUUUUUUGUUGGAUAUCUUGAUACACAUACUCUCAUGUCUACUUAUGUGGUUGUAAGCUGUUAACAUACCAUAAAAGUAAUAUUUUUUCAUGGUCCACAGAUUUCACUGGCACUGUUAAAUGCUCAAGUGUCUAUGAAAUCCUUUAAAUUAUAGUCACAACCAGUGCAUCUUCACUGAUUCCACUAAUGCUUUCUAAAUUUCCCUGAUCAUCCCACUGGUAUGGAUGCUAUGUUUUUUACAUUGCUUUGUUUUCUGUUGCAUCGUCACUUAUGUUGCUAUGUGCCAUAGAGUACUAUGCAGGCAAUUCACUUCCAGGUUCUGCAGGCCCCACCUUUCAUCAUUAACUUUUCUGGUGACUUGAAAUAUGGUGUGCUGAUUAACUCUACUUGAGAAAUUCUCUCCAAGAUUUUAUGGGUUGUUCAUUGUUGAAGGAGAUAAGUGUUCAAUUACACUAAAAAUGGAGCACGAUGGAAAGAAUUGAUUUAAUCGGCCAACUGUUUUGCACAUUUUCCUGUAUCAUGGUUUUUCAAUUACUCUCAAAACUCAUUUUUUACUUUUUACCAGCUAAAUUUCUUAUUUUGUGUUUCCUCAAUAUUUCUGAAAAACAUUUUAGCAAGUGCCGUAAAUAAUUAUAUAUCCUAAUCUCAAGUUACAGUUCAGCAGGAGAAUAUGAUGCUUUUAAUGGAGAUACAGGAAGCAUAGAAGAUCUGAAAGGACAGCUGGCCUCUCGGCAUGUUUGGAUGGCUUCUUGCAUUACUGCUAUUCUGCCUUUGUUCCAUGUUGUAAUUCAAUCUUUCAUUUUGCUUGUGCAUCCUAAUUUUAUAUGAAUAUCUUACCUUGUUAUUAGAUCACAUUGAUGAUGUGUUGACUUUUGAAAGAUAGUCACAACUCAAAAAGUUUAUGGCUUAAUGAUAAUAAUAUUGAACUACUAGAGUUGGCAUGCCUCUUGUAAUUUGAUGCCAUUGAGGAUUAUUAGUUUUUCAUUACCUAAACAUUUUUCUUUUUGGCUCCAUUUGUGGUUACAUGCUACUUCAUUAGCCUUUCGAUCUCUUUAUUCACUUGCUAGCCAUGGGUGUGUUAUUGAUCAGUUCUAGUUUCUUCGCAUGUAUGAAGAUGGUUGAAGUACUUACAAUUACCAUUUGCAGUUGUGCUCAGAGUUCACAAAGCACUCAUACAAGCAUAUGCUGAUCUGGUCACUACAAUUGUACCUCAGUAUCCACAACAUGGACAGGAGAUUGCUCAAGAAUUGCAGAAAGAGGGAAAUGUAGCCUUGAGGUCUCAACAUCGAAGUAUUAUGCCAGGAACACAAAUUUAUGUGGUGGACUGUGGACACGUGAACUGAGACAUUUGUACACAACAUCUUCAGUAGCUGUAAUUGGAGGUUCCUUCUUGCCUGGUUUAGCUGGUCAUAAUAUACCAGAAGCUGCAGCAGCUGGCUGUGCAGUUUUGACUGGUGAAUGUUUACUCUUAGGUCAUAUUUGCUUCAUGACAUAAUAUUAUUAGAGGCUUGCUGUUUGGAUACUUUCAGGUCAUCAUGUUGGUCAUUUCUCACACAUGGUAAAGGAAAUGCAAUGCUUAAAUCCCUUAUCAGUUAUUCAGGUGUCCAGUACCUUAGAGCUUGAAGAAGCUAUUAUGGAGCCACUUAAUGAUGCCAAUGUACUAGAUGGAAGGCAUAUGGCUGCAAAACAAGCAUUUCAUGCUUUGUCCAGUGGCAUUGUAGUUAAUGUCUGGAACCUGCUAAAUUUUCAUGUUCUGAGAGUAUCUUUGUUAAAAAAAAAAAGCAGAUGAAGACUGGCACACAGCAAAUCAAUUUUGAGUCUUUGCCUCCAGCCUGAAGCUUUUAAUGAAAAGUAGCAUCAAAUAUUCUUGAAACCAAUUAGCUGAACACUUUAUAUUCAUGCAUGUAUAUGGCAGCUCAAAUUCUAGGCCACACAAACAUUAGUACUAUUCCAUUCCUUGAACACCUUUCCUCCAUUUGAUUAAGAAAACUUUUGGCUGUGGGAAAUGGUGAAACAAAGGUUUUCUUGGAAGUUGCAAAAUCAAAGGUUUCUUUCUAAUUA